rnacentral:rRNA from 1 species
GACGAACGCUGGCGGCGUGCUUAACACAUGCAAGUCGAACGGAAAGGCCCUGCUUUUGUGGGGUACUCGAGUGGCGAACGGGUGAGUAACACGUGAGUAACCUGCCUUUGACUUUGGGAUAACGUCAGGAAACUGGGGCUAAUACCGGAUAUUAGCUCCUGCUGCAUGGUGGGGGUUGGAAAGUUUCGGCGGUUGGGGAUGGACUCGCGGCUUAUCAGCUUGUUGGUGGGGUAGUGGCUUACCAAGGCUUUGACGGGUAGCCGGCCUGCGAGGGUGACCGGCCACAUUGGGACUGAGAUACGGCCCAGACUCCUACGGGAGGCAGCAGUGGGGAAUAUUGCACAAUGGGCGGAAGCCUGAUGCAGCAACGCCGCGUGCGGGAUGACGGCCUUCGGGUUGUCAACCGCUUUCGCCUGUGACGAAGCGUGAGUGACGGUAAUGGGUAAAGAAGCACCGGCUAACUACGUG